rnacentral:rRNA from 1 species
AUUGAACGCUGGCGGCAUGCCUUACACAUGCAAGUCGAACGGUAACAGGUCUUCGGAUGCUGACGAGUGGCGAACGGGUGAGUAAUAUAUCGGAACGUGCCCAGUAGUGGGGGAUAGCCCGGCGAAAGCCGGAUUAAUACCGCAUACGACCUACGGGUGAAAGGGGGGGAUCGCAAGACCUCUCGCUAUUGGAGCGGCCGAUAUCAGAUUAGGUAGUUGGUGGGGUAAAGGCCUACCAAGCCUACGAUCUGUAGUUGGUCUGAGAGGACGACCAGCCACACUGAGACUGAGACACGGCCCAGACUCCUACGGGAGGCAGCAGUGGGGAAUUUUGGACAAUGGGCGCAAGCCUGAUCCAGCAAUGCCGCGUGCAGGAAGAAGGCCUUCGGGUUGUAAACUGCUUUUGUCAGGGAAGAAAUCCUCUGGGCUAAUAUCCUGGGGGGAUGACGGUACCUGAAGAAUAAGCACCGGCUAACUACGUGCCAGCCGCCGCGGUAAGAC